rnacentral:tRNA from 1 species
CAGAGGGUAGUUUAAUCAAAAUAUUGGCUUUGGAAGCUUUAGAUGGUAAAUUUUAUCUUCUCUGA